rnacentral:rRNA from 1 species
GACGAACCGUGCGAACGUUAUUCGGAAUCACUGGGCUUAAAGGGUGCGUAGGCGGGCUCGCCAGUCAGGGGUGAAAUCCCACGGCCCAACCGUGGAAGUGCCUCUGAUACUGCGGGCCUCGAGGGGGAUAGGGGCGUGCGGAACUUCCGGUGGAGCGGUGAAAUGCGUAGAUAUCGGAAGGAACACCGGUGGCGAAAGCGGCGCGCUGGAUCCCUACUGACGCUGAGGCACGAAAGCGUGGGGAUCAAACAGG